GACAGAGGAUGCAAGCGUUAUCCGGAAUGAUUGGGCGUAAAGCGUCUGUAGGUGGCUUUUUAAGUCCGCCGUCAAAUCCCAGGGCUCAACCCUGGACAGGCGGUGGAAACUACCAAGCUGGAGUACGGUAGGGGCAGGAGGGAAUUUCCGGUGGAGCGGUGAAAUGCGCAGAUAUCAGGAGGAACACCAGUGGCGAAGGCGGUGCUCUGGGCCGGUACUGACGCUGAGGAGCGAAAGCGUGGGUAGCAAACAGG
rnacentral:rRNA from 1 species